AACGAACGCUGGCGGCGUGGAUAAGACAUGCAAGUCGUGCGGGACAUCGUUGGUAGCAAUAUUAGCGGUGUCUAGCGGCGAACGGGUGCGUAACACGUAGCUCACCUACCUCGAAGUGGGGAUAGCUCGCCGAAAGGCGAAUUAAUACCGCAUGUGGUUGUAAGACUAAAGCGGGGGAUCGUAAGACCUCGCGCUUCGAGAUGGGGCUGCGGCCUAUCAGCUAGUUGGGAGGUAACGGCCCACCAAGGCGAUGACGGGUAGCUGGUCUGAGAGGACGACCAGCCACACUGGAACUGAGACACGGUCCAGACACCUACGGGUGGCAGCAGUCGAGGAUCUUGGACAAUGGGCGC
rnacentral:rRNA from 1 species